GCUGUACGGCGAUCGGAGGAGUCGGCCGACCCUAGGUCGGUGGCCAGUAGAGUGGCGUCGGGUUCCUCUGUCGGUCGGCGAGUUUCACGUGAGUCGGCCAUCAGACCUCUGGGUUCAGUCGGUCGGGAUGGAUACGCCCGACAUAUCCCCAGUCGGCGAUGGACCGUUGAAUGGCCGGCAGUGGCGUCAGUCGGUCGCCCCGACCGUCAAUCGGUCGGUUGGAGCAGAAGUC
rnacentral:lncRNA from 1 species